CCCGACCCCACAGGUCCUGGACCAGCUGCUCCAGAGUGCCCUCUCUCCCAUCUGGGGCCCCCGGCCUCAGGAGAACUCCCAGGAUAUGUGGCAGAUGCUGCGCCACUCCAGGAUCAAUCUGACGUUGGCGUAUCUCCAGGACCUCUUGCCUGGCUCAGUCCUGAAGCACCAGGCCACCCCUCUUCUCAUCCAGGUGGACCUUUUCCAGGCCACUGAGUUGGAGACAGAGGCUCCAGCGCUUCUGCCAGGUGCAGAGGCAGAAAAGGGGCCACAUCUGGAGCUGGACGGAACUCCAGUUCUAUUUCUG
rnacentral:lncRNA from 1 species